GCGUGGCAACUAAAAUGGAACACACCACAGUCUAUAUCGAAGUAUACUGAAAGACAAGAGAAUGUCAGAAUCAAGUAUGCUCUGUCAUCUAUGCAAGGAUUGUGCCCAUACAUGGAAGAUGCUCAUGCAGCUAUCCCGGAUCUAGAUGGUGCCAGGACGACAUCAUUCUUUGGUGUUUAUGAUGGCCAUGGAGGAGCUAAUGUAGCAAAGUAUUGUGCGGAAAAAGUUCAUACCGAGCUUCUGUUAGAUGAAGGGUAUCCCAACGAUCUGGGUAAUGCAUUGGGGCGCGUAUUUUCCAGGUUAGUUAAUUGAAUCAUGUGCUCUACAUUUCAGGCAACGUAGCUUUUCUCCCUUUUCAGUAGUCAAAGAAUAGAUGUGCAGUUGAAAGAAUACGAUGAAUGGAGGGUGUUAGCUAACCCCCCAUCAAACCAAUCUGCUAAGUUGUCUCCAGACUCCUGCUUGUGUUCAGGUUUGGUUUCCUCCAAGAUGAAUAUCAAGUAAUUAAUAUGAUUUAAGAUCAAGCCAUUGAAGGAGUUAAGAUUGUAUCACUUGGAUGAUAUGCAUACUAUUACCUGUAAAAUCGAACUGGAAGGAAGGUGUGAUAUGGAUUAUGGAGGAUUUAUUAUACUUUCUUGAGAUAUGCUUUUGAGUUGGAAGUGGCAUAUAAAUAUGUUUACAUAUAGCUCCUCUACCCAAUUAUUGAGUUGGAAGUUGGAGUAGUUGGUAUAUGUAUUGAGUGCCGGGUUUACUGAGUUGGAGGACAUCUACUUCUAAGUUCUGGUUGGUCAUUGCACCUUGGCUGUUAUCAUAUUCCCAGAUUCAAGGGAGCCCCUAAAUUUGAAGGAAGCAUAGCCUGUGUGGCUCUCAUUAGAGGAUACGAGAUCAUUGUUGGAAAUGUCAGUGAUUCUCGCUGCGUACUCUCAAGGAAUGGUCAGGCAAUCGAUUUAUCCACCGAUCACAGACCAAACCUUCCGGAGGAACUUCAGAGAAUUGAAAAUGCUGGACGACAAGUAAUCAAGGAUGGGGUCUAUUUUAGGUGUUCAGGGCAAGCAGGAGUACCUAAGGGUGGCUAUCGUGUUAAUGGGAUGUUACCCAUGUCCAGAGCUAUUGGUAUAACCUUAUCUAAUUUCUUUUGGUCAGUUGCGUACUAUCUAUUUCAUUGUGCU